rnacentral:rRNA from 1 species
CCAAUAGCGUAUAUUAAAGUUGUUGCAGUUAAAAAGCUCGUAGUUGAAUUUCGGGGUUCUACCGUUGGUCGGGCUUUGUCUGUACUGGCGUGUAGAAUUUCUACCUUCUGGGGAACCAUUAUGUUAUUAAUUUAGCGUAGUGGGAAACCAGGACCUUUACCUUGAAAAAAUUAGAGUGUUCAAAGCAGGCUUAUGUCUGAAUACAUUAGCAUGGAAUAAUAGAAUAGGACGGUGGUCCUGUUUUGUUGGUUUCUGAAUCACCGUAAUGAUUAAUAGUGAUAGUUGGGGGCAUUAGUAUUCAAUUGUCAGAGGUGAAAUUCUUGGAUUUAUUGAAGACUAACUUCUGCGAAAGCAUUUGCCAAGGAUGUUUUCAUUAAUCAAGAACGAAAGUUAGGGGAUCGAAGACGAUCAGAUACCGUCGUAGUCUUAACCAUAAACUAUGCCGACUAGGGAUCGGACGAUGUUAACUUUUCUUGACUCGUUCGGCGCCUUACG